AAGGAGGCAGGAAGUUGAAGAGAGCCUAGGAGGCGCCUGGGUUCUGGCCAAGGGCGUGCCUGAAGUCCUGGGGGAGCACGGAGACAGAAGGCUCGGCAAAAAAGAAUCAGCAGAAAUCUCGAGCUCUGGUAUGAAUCGCAUCUCCAGGCGGGAGGACUGAUUGGCAGGCCUGGAGAACUGAGGGACCAAAGGGAAACACUAAGUAACGCCAAAACCAUAUCUGCAGGGCAACUUCUAACCCAGGGCAAGAGAGCAAAGAUCUUUGGACUAGGGGGCAGAGGGGGAAGAGCAGAAGCUUGGAGGCUUCCAAAAGACUGGAAACUUGGAAGAGGGGCUUUAUGAAUGAAUUGUGCACCCCCCCCCCCCAAAAAAAAGAUGCAGAACUAACUGAUACAGGGAUCAACUGGCCUUCAUAGAUGGCAUCUUGAAGAAAUGUCUUCGGG